rnacentral:rRNA from 1 species
UACAUUUAAGGAAAGUGGCAAACGGGGUAGUAACAGGUAGGAACAUACCAUUGAGUCAGGAAUAACUAUGAGAAAUCAUAGCUAAUACCUGAUAGUCUCUACGGAGUAAAGAUUUAUCGCUCAAUGAAUGGCCUGCUUAGUAUCAGCUAGUUGGUAGUGUAAUGGACUACCAAGGCUAUGACGCUUAGGGGAGGUGAGAGCCUGACCCCCACCAUUGGAACUGCGACACGGUCCAAACUCC